rnacentral:rRNA from 1 species
CUACGGGACGCACCAGUGGGGAAUAUUGCACAAUGGGCGCAAGCCUGAUGCAGCCAUGCCGCGUGUAUGAAGAAGGCCUUCGGGUUGUAAAGUACUUUCAGCGGGGAGGAAGGGAGUAAAGUUAAUACCUUUGCUCAUUGACGUUACCCGCAGAAGAAGCACCGGCUAACUCCGUGCCAGCAGCCGCGGUAAUACGGAGGGUGCAAGCGUUAAUCGGAAUUACUGGGCGUAAAGCGCACGCAGGCGGUUUGUUAAGUCAGAUGUGAAAUCCCCGGGCUCAACCUGGGAACUGCAUCUGAUACUGGCAAGCUUGAGUCUCGUAGAGGGGGGUAGAAUUCCAGGUGUAGCGGUGAAAUGCGUAGAGAUCUGGAGGAAUACCGGUGGCGAAGGCGGCCCCCUGGACGAAGACUGACGCUCAGGUGCGAAAGCGUGGGGAGCAAACAGGAUUAGAUACCCGGGUAGUC